rnacentral:misc_RNA from 1 species
AUCAGACCGUAGCCACCCCUGGGGAGAGAAACAAGUGAAGGCCACGGCAUUUCAUUCUCUAAUAGCCAUAAAGGUAACAACCAUUAAUUUAACGCCGACUCAUCAUAUCUCUAUGAAACUUACUGCCGAAAGAUCUCUUAUAACUGCAACUUACUUGAAGGGUCAAGAUCUACCAAACAAACCGAACAAAAAACCAACUAUUAACACUCCAAUUAGAGAG